rnacentral:lncRNA from 1 species
CAUCAGUGUGAAGUACCAUGCAGCAGUAAUCAAUGUAGAACAAAACUGUCAAUAUGGAAAAUGAAAUAUUUUAGACUAAAAUUUCAAGGCUUAGUUGUAGUCCUGUAGACUAAACACCAGUUGUUUAAAACUGUUUGUUUAAAUGUGUCCACGUAGAUUCUCUUCCUCAAUAAAUGCAACACAUAAGAUUACAAAUACUCAUUUUCCUUUUACACAGACAGAAAUGCCUUGAAAAGGACUCUACCUCUUAUAUUGAGACUGAAAGACUUCCAGAGGUGUUAAUGUACUCAUGAAGAAUACCAUCCUGGUUACCAUAACAUUCUAUAGAAUGUUACCACACUGCCAGCAGAGAAACUACCUUACUUACAUGGAUUCAUUUCACCAUUUUAAGCAGUGAGGGUAUCUUCCUUGUAGAACAUUUCACAUGACAUUUGCAGAGAGAGGCUGUUCAAAUGGAACCAGGAAAUUCAGGAAAACCUGCUAAAAUGAGGGACCUGUGGAAUUUCCAUCUGGAGACAGUCAUUUAUCAACAGGUGAAGCAGAAGAGAGAGAACAUGCUAAAAAAGUGGUCAUGCUCAAGGAGCAGUGGUGGAGGCUACUCGCUGCAAAGCAGUGAAGAGAAAUCAAUGAGCCUGCAUCUGGCAGACAUGUACAAGAAUGUCAUAAACAACACUUCUCACCGCCACAUUAAACAGUAUGUUCAGUGACCAGCAGAGUGGAAAAUAGAUCUCAUCUUUCAUUCUAAAGAUAGUAUUUCCACAGGGCAGAAAAGAUGCUGUAAAACAUCAAAACAAUUAAAGAGGAUCUAACUUUCUUUUUCUUCCUUACCACUGUAGAAACAUGAAUGUUACUUCUCAUUUGUUAAACUUAUUACCCUGUUGCAGCACGUUAGUACAUAAAUUCAAGUUAAUAUCAGAG